GCAUAUCAAUAAGCGGAGGAAAAGAAAAUAACAAUGAUUCCCCUAGUAACUGCGAGUGAAGAGGGACAAGCUCAAAUUUUAAAUCUAUCGGGUUUUACCCGAUCGAGUUGUAAUUUGAAGAGGCGUUUUCUGCGUAUUCGGUCAGCCCAAGUCCUAUUGAAUGAGGCAUCAUGGAGGGUGAUAAUCCCGUCCGGUUGAUCAUUUGCGUUUUACGAUACGCUUUCUAAGAGUCAAGUUGUUUGGGAUUGCAGCUUAAAAUGGGAGGUAAAUUUCUCCUAAGGCUAAAUAUUUGCGAGAGACCGAUAGCGAACAAGUACCGUGAGGGAAAGAUGAAAAGAACUUUGAAAAGAGAGUUAAAAAGUAUGUGAAAUUGUUGAAAGGGAAACGAUUGAAGUCAGUCGUGCAGUCAUCAAUUCAGCGGUUAACAUUUUAUGUUUCCGUGUAAUUUGGUGUCUGUUGGUUAGCAUCAAUUUUGAUUGUUAUAAAAAGGUUAAGGGGAUGUGGCUCCUUCGGGAGUGUUAUAACCCUUAGCGUAAUGUGACGAUUAGGAUUGAGGUUUGCAACGAAUACCUUUUAGGGCAGUUUCACCUGGCCUCUCGUGGAAUUAUAGAUAGUUAAGAGCAUGCUCUUACUGUUUAUGAUUCUACGAAAAGGUUGGAGUGUAAAACUAAUUCGUUAAGGAUGUUGACGUA
rnacentral:rRNA from 1 species